UACGUAGGGGGCUAGCGUUGUCCGGAUUUAUUGGGCGUAAAGAGCGUGUAGGUGGCGCGCUAAGUCGGGUGUGAAAUUUCGGAGCUUAACUCCGAAACUGCAUUCGAUACUGGCGUGCUUGAGGACUGGAGAGGAGACUGGAAUUCAUGGUGUAGCAGUGAAAUGCGUAGAGAUCAUGAGGAAGACCAGUGGCGAAGGCGGGUCUCUGGACAGUUCCUGACACUGAGACACGAAGGCCAGGGGAGCAAACGGG
rnacentral:rRNA from 1 species